CUUGUUAUCACACGCUCAGGUUCAAGAACAUUUUCCAUUUACUGUUAAGAGUGUGUUUUUUCAGCCGAAAUUGUUUUCUUUAAGCUUGCACAUUAGUGGAAAGUGUUUUUUACAGCUUGGCAGUGGGGGAUUUUUACAGCAACCCAACAACAAACAACAUUUUUUUGGUAUAUAAUAUCACCACACACAUGCACUGAUGUAACCGGGGAACCUUUGUGACGAAGAAACACGAGGACCUCAUUUCGAUUUCUCCUCUGUGCGAUCCUCCUACCAACGACCAAAAUGAGCGAUCCGCCGUUUGAACCACUUUGACACCUACACCUGCGAAAUGACUGUGGGCUUGAAACUAACACAGCAGAAUGUUAUUGAAGUUUUUUUUUUCCCUCCAUCAGAGGACUUUUGUGUACAGAGGACGGCAAUCUGUAUGUAUGCGUGCAUCCCCCUUCUAUUUGCUUAACAGUGCAUUUAUUUCAUCAACGCGUUUUCACACAAAAAUGAUUCCAGUUUCAAUCAGAAAAGCAUGAAAACAGAUUUCCACACUGCACAGAUUGAUGGAUUCAUUCUGCAUGUGUUCGUAAUUAAACACUGGAUUUCAUCUAUUGUGGAUGGAAGCAACACACUGGUCUUAUGCUCCAGAGCCACUGGCACGGGGUGGGAUUAACUCUGGGUUGCCCACGUUUGGCAUCAGUGCUGGGGACACCUAGUGGUCAGUAUGUGCAGCUUACACUCUUCCGUGUGCUCUUUUUGAUUUCGUCUUCGUGUCAUCCUUGUGCAAUCUUUGCCCUUUUUGUUUGUUGUUCAGCUCUAUUUGUUCUCCCUCUUUUGAUUAAUUUGUUCUUUCUUUCUACCCCCUCCUUUCUUUCCAUCUCCUCAUCACUUGUGUGUGUGCAUUUGUUUUGUAGAAUUGGAAGAUUCCAGUUGGACAGAUCAUUGUGCCCCCUUUUUCCUCCCAGUCUCUCUUUCUCUCUCUCUCUCUCUCUCUCUCUCUCUUUCUCUGGAAGGCUCCAACGCAACUGGAGCCUCGGAGGCUCAAGAGAGGAGCCUGGGAAAGGAGGAACAAAGGGCCGUCCGUCUGCAGCCAUCACCACCUCCGCCAUCUCCCCCCCCGUUCUUCCCUCCCUCGGUCCCCUCGCCUCUCUUCCCUCUCCCCACUGGCCAGCGCUCCAAAUUAAGACUUCAGACAAGAAAAUGGGCUCACUAAAAAAGGGAGAGAAAGCGCGAGAGAGAGAGAAGGAAGUCCAUAACAAGCCAAGAGGAGCAGAGCGACAAAGCCUCUGUUGUUGGAUGGCAGGGCCCCUCUGUCGCCCGGCGAGGAACUGUCACCGUGUCAACUUGGACCCCUUGUUGUGCUAAAUACAGGAUUGGCGGCUCUCAACAUGGCGACGGCGAUCCGUGGCUUGCAGCUAACGCUGCUAACAGCGCAAACAACAGCUACAGUGCUGACAGAGAUAACAGUGUUUACCUGAGGGGUAAACGGAGGAUGGAUGCUACGCUUCCACGACGACGCCGUUGGUUCGGACGACGUUAUCCGCUGUAACCGCCGUAUGAAAGCAGUGCAGAGCGGCGGCCAUGAGCUAGCCAGUGGGGCACGCUCACUGGCACGAACAUGCCGUAAAAGCACACGUGGUCGGCCCGGCGGUGUCAACAAAACAUCGGAGAAGCUCAGACUACACCACCCAAAGAGGGAGAGUGACUUCAUUCUCUGCUCAGAUCAUAUUCAUCAAGAUCAUCCCCUCUGACAAAGCAAGAAAUCAGCACAGUGGGGAGGUCUAACGAGAACGCGUACUGGAACAUGGGGGUUUCUUCCAAAUCAAAUCAGGUUCCUCUGAUGUAAUCAAGACGAGAUGCAAAGACGACCACAUAAUCUCCCAGGGACAUGCCUCCCUUGCUUGCAGGUUAUUAAAAAAUGAGGAGGAACAAAUCUUUAGAUUGAAAGAUUGGAAAAAUGGAAUUAUAAUAAAUCGGGGGAAUCUGGGGCAAGGUUGGAUAAAGCCUUCAGAUACAGAUGACGGGCAAAUCUUCACAGUGGUUUGUGCUUGUAUUUAUAUGAGUGUGUGUGUAUUAAAUAUUUCAAUUUACUCAAGAUCAAGUUCCUGAACUGAGCUCUCCCUCUCUACCUCUGUGUAAAUCAGGAGUGCUGGUUGUCCCACUAGAAGUCACUCAGUGCUGUUGGAUUAUCUGUCUGCAUCUAAGGUUAGGUGACUGGUGGACAGUGAUGCAUCAUGGUGGGGCUUCUCAAUCAUUGGAGGGUGCACUUGCAAGUAACACCCACAUGAUGGCACAAUAUGACAAAAGUGGACAACUUGAGGGCUCUUAAUGCUCUAAUUAAUGUAACCUGAUCUCCAUAAUGAACACAUAUAAUGUAUAAUGUAAUCAAGGCCAGUGUGGUUACAGUUCAACCUUAAUUUAUUUAGUGAAGUUAUUUAGUGAACUGAUCUCCAGACGCACAGCUGCCACAACACAGAAUAAACUUGUAUCAAUUGAGUAGGCAUAAACAGCAAAGAUAUUAUUGGCCUUCACCACCAGAUGGCCUUCUUGAACUGCAGUAAAAAAAACAACAACACUAUGGAGAUGAACUGUGGGCAAUUCAUAUAUAUGUUAGUUUUGGUUUUUAACAAACAUUACUUUUUGAUUAAUUCAUUACUUGCUAUGUUUGAGAUGGAUGUCUGAUGUCUGAGGGUAAAAACAUUUCCAAAAAUAUACAAAUCAUUAUGGUUGGUGUUCUGCCUGCACGUGCACAGCCAUUUUGCUAGUAUAGGUUGGUGUGCCAUGGUGGCUUGGGGUUUAGGGCACUG